rnacentral:rRNA from 1 species
CCCUUAGAUGUUCUGGGCCGCACGCGCGCUACACUGAUGAACGCAACGAGACCACCUGUACCGAAAGGCAUGGGUAAACUUGUGAAAGUUCAUCGUGAUGGGGAUAGAUUAUUGCAAUUAUUAAUCUUCAACGAGGAAUUCCUAGUAAGCGCGAGUCAUCAGCUCGCGUUGAUUACGUCCAUGCCCUUUGUACACACCGCCCGUCGCUCCUACCGAUUGAAUGGUCCGGUGAAAUCUUCGGAUUGCUGGAUAGGACUUCAUUGACCUAUCUGCGAGAAGUUGCUUGAACCUUAUCAUUUAGAGGAAGGAGAANUCGUANCA